GUUUUUUCAUGUUUAAUCAUCAUCAAAAUGUAAUGCCCAACAUUUAGAUUAAACAGGUAGAUUAGAUUAGAUAGAAUAUUAAGAAUUUUUCAUCCUGUUGCCAUGACAGCAGAAAGAGCAACCGUUGGCUUAGUUAGUUCAAAUUCAACUAGAAAGCACCAAAUACAAAGAAAAAUGUUAACUUCAAGUCAGUCAAAGGAGUAUGCUUACACAACAUUAAUUAAAUUCACUGUAAGCGACCAGCUUGAAACAAAAACAAACGACGCAACGACGGGGACACUAGCAUUUAGCUUAGCAUCAAAGCUAACUUUCGACUGGAAGCGGCACAAAAACAAAGCGGAAAUAAGAAGGGCUUCCCUGUUCCACUCCCCGGUGUGUUGUACUCGAGCUUUAUUUGCCUAGCACCACCUACUGACAGGGAGGGAUUGCGUGAUGACGUGAUAUCUACUAGCCCCUACAGAUCAGAACUGGCAGAUCCAAAUACUCCAGAUCAGGACCCCAGAAAGUCAAUUUACUGUACAGAACAUGUAAAACAAC